rnacentral:sRNA from 1 species
GCCAGGUGCACUGGCACACACCUAUAAUCCUAGCAACUCGGGAGGCUGAGGCAAGAGGAUCAUGGGUUCAAAGCGAGCCUCGGCAACAGCGAGGCACUAAGCAACUCAGUGAGACCCUGUCUCUA